rnacentral:rRNA from 1 species
UACGAAGGGGGCUAGCGUUGCUCGGAAUCACUGGGCGUAAAGCGCACGUAGGCGGAUUGCUAAGUCAGGGGUGAAAUCCUGGAGCUCAACUCCAGAACUGCCUUUGAUACUGAGGAUCUUGAGUCCGGGAGAGGUGAGUGGAACUGCGAGUGUAGAGGUGAAAUUCGUAGAUAUUCGCAAGAACACCAGUGGCGAAGGCGGCUCACUGGCCCGAUACUGACGCUGAGGCACGAAAGCGUGGGGAGCAAACAGG